UACGGGGGGAGCAAGCGUUGUUCGGAAUUACUGGGCGUAAAGCGCACGUAGGCGGAUUUGUAAGUCAGGGGUGAAAUCCCGGGGCUCAACCCCGGAACUGCCUUUGAUACUGCGAAUCUCGAGUCCGGAAGAGGUGAGUGGAAUUCCUAGUGUAGAGGUGAAAUUCGUAGAUAUUAGGAAGAACACCAGUGGCGAAGGCGGCUCACUGGUCCGGUACUGACGCUGAGGUGCGAAAGCGUGGGGAGCAAACAGG
rnacentral:rRNA from 1 species